rnacentral:lncRNA from 1 species
AAAAUCAGAAGGAGGAGAGAAGAUCCUCUUGUCUCACUGUCUCACGCAAACAAAAGAAAGAAAAAAAAGAAACAGACUUGAGGGGACCCCUACUAGGAAAUGUCUCUUAGGAUGUAGAUAAAAAGUAACAUAAAAACUAUUUUUCUUUUAAUUUUUUUUAAAUAAAAUAAAAUAAAAAUAAUCUAAUUAUAAAUAUUACAAAAUAUUCAAAUAAAUUUAAACGAAAUGAAUAAAAUGUAAAACAAAAUGUAAAAUAAAUUGUA